CGACGCCCCGCAGGGGAGUGGCAGACGGGUGAGUAACGCGUGGGAAUCUACCCAAUUCUACGGAACAACUCCGGGAAACUGGAGCUAAUACCGUAUACGUCCUUCGGGAGAAAGAUUUAUCGGAGUUGGAUGAGCCCGCGUUGGAUUAGCUAGUUGGUGGGGUAACGGCCUACCAAGGCUACGAUCCAUAGCUGGUCUGAGAGGAUGAUCAGCCACACUGGGACUGAGACACGGCCCAGACUCCUACGGGAGGCAGCAGUGGGGAAUAUUGGGCAAUGGGCGAAAGCCUGAUCCAGCCAUGCCGUGUGAGUGAUGAAGGCCUUAGGGUUGUAAAGCUCUUUCAGUGGGGAAGAUAAUGACGGUACCCACAGAAGAAGCCCCGGCUAACUUCGUGCCAGCAGCCGCGGUAAUACGAAGGGGGCUAGCGUUGUUCGGAUUUACUGGGCGUAAAGCGCACGUAGGCGGAUCGUUAAGUCGAGGGUGAAAUCCUGGAGCUCAACUCCAGAACUGCCUUCGAUACUGGCG
rnacentral:rRNA from 1 species